ACAUGCUUCCAUAGUACAGACUAAAAUUGGAAGGAUGCCAAGAUAAUUAGCAUGGUCUCUGCACAAGGAUGACAUGAAUUUUUGAAGCAUUUCAUAUUUUU
rfam:Nomascus leucogenys chromosome 2, whole genome shotgun sequence.